GACGUAGGGCGCGAGCGUUGUCCGGAUUUAUUGGGCGUAAAGAGCUCGUAGGCGGCUUGUCGCGUCGACUGUGAAAACCCGAGGCUCAACUUCGGGCUUGCAGUCGAUACGGGCAGGCUAGAGUUCGGUAGGGGGAGACUGGAAUUCCUGGUGUAGCGGUGAAAUGCGCAGAUAUCAGGAGGAACACCGAUGGCGAAGGCAGGUCUCUGGGCCGCAACUGACGCUGAGGAGCGAAAGCAUGGGGAGCGAACAGG
rnacentral:rRNA from 1 species